rnacentral:rRNA from 1 species
UGGGGAAUUUUGGACAAUGGGCGCAAGCCUGAUCCAGCCAUGCCGCGUGCGGGAAGAAGGCCUUCGGGUUGUAAACCGCUUUUGUCAGGGAAGAAAUCUUCUGAGUUAAUACCUCGGGAGGAUGACGGUACCUGAAGAAUAAGCACCGGCUAACUACGUGCCAGCAGCCGCGGUAAUACGUAGGGUGCAAGCGUUAAUCGGAAUUACUGGGCGUAAAGCGUGCGCAGGCGGUUUUGUAAGACAGAGGUGAAAUCCCCGGGCUCAACCUGGGAACUGCCUUUGUGACUGCAAGGCUUGAGUGCGGCAGAGGGGGAUGGAAUUCCGCGUGUAGCAGUGAAAUGCGUAGAUAUGCGGAGGAACACCGAUGGCGAAGGCAAUCCCCUGGGCCUGCACUGACGCUCAUGCACGAAAGCGUGGGGAGCAAAACAGGAUUAGAUAGCCCCAUGGUAGUCCACGCCCUAAACGAUGUCAACUGGUUGUUGGGAAGGUUCCUUCUCAGUAACGUAGCUAACGCGUGAAGUUGACCGCCUGGGGAGUACGGCCGCAAGGUUGAAACUCAAAUGAAUUGACGGGG